CCUCAACCUUGGGUUGUCCCGGUGGCCUCUGUCACCGGCUGGAUCGCUGGUCAUGAGUAGGCCCUCAACAUGACUUCCUCUGUGGCAGGUGGCUUGCGGGAUGAGGACCUCACCGGGAUCCACUGCGCGACGGCCAGCACCUCCGCCGUCUGCUCGGCCAUCUACUCCGGAUCUGAGCGCGGAGGAUUGUGGAGGAAGUGGAAGCCCAGCCGCAUAGCAGUUGGACUGGAGCGGCAAACGUGGUGAAUCUCGGGUUUCCUCCCGUCGCCGUAUCUUCCCGUUGUGCUCGAGAUCGAUUCUCGGCGGCAACACAAGAGGAACAUUCUUGGCUGUCCGUGAGUGGCCUGGAUGAUGACCUCAACGGGCAGCGCUCAGGCCUCCCUCCCCUCGCUACUCUCUCUCCGAUGGAAGCCAGUCCUUGCCGCGCCAUGGUCGCCUCUAACGGCAUCGGUUCUUCCACCACUACAACUGUCGUGGCUCCACCCUCCGUGCAGGGCAUCAGGAGGGUAUGAGGCCAUGUCUCAAGCUCGCUGUUGCUCCCUGUGACGGGCGUUGACUCUGACAUGAGGACGAAGGUCACGGACUCCAGAUCGGAGAGAGGAUGCCAUGGUUGACUGGCGACCUUGCAAAUGGCCUGGCUGUGUGUUCUUGCUCUACGUGAUAUCUGCUAUGCUACAUUGAUCUGCUGAGCUUUGUUUCCUUCGUGUCUGCACCUUUUAGUGUUUCUAGCAUCUGGAAACUUAGCUUGGUGAUUUCAGACUUGGAUAGAAAGUCUUGCUACUAAUACUCUGGCAGUUGCAUCAGGGUAGUCUGGGGUUCACCUCUCCAUCAUCAACAGGGGGCGAGGUGGCAUUGUUGAUAUUCCGUGUUGCAGAGUUCUCCAAGGUUUCCACCCAAUUGUCUAAGACAAAAGAAUUCUUAGGAAUAUAUAUAUAUCACUGAAUGCCACCGAAGAGAAGUAUCGAAUGAGCCUGGUCUGUCAGUUUCAUCAUUGGGCAUGCUACUUUUUUCUGUAUUUUUGGAUGAUAUUUACCCAGGACUGAUUGUUUGGCCAUGCGGUAUUUGCUCGCUUUAACAGCAUGGGAAUUUCACUGUGCUACCUGCCUAUUUCUUCAACUGUAAGUUUUAUGAAAGUAUGCUCAUCAUGGGAAGCUAGAGCUUUGACUGCUUCCUUAUUUUAAAUUGUACUAUAAGAUUUCACAUAGAUGAUACGGGACUACAUGUUUAACUUCUUCCUUGGUACUUUAGUUUUGGUCUUUAGGGCUAUAAGGAGAUCAAUUAUUACUUCAAAUUUUGAAGUGGUGUGGAUAUACUAUAGAUAGAUAUAUAGCAGUAUGACAGUACCUAUGAGCGUGAUAUGUUCAUUUCGGAACUGUUUCGUAAUCUAGGCAUGGAUUUGUUUGGGAAUUGUACAUCCUAUUGGUUUGCUGUUAUCAUUUCCUUGGGUGCAUGUAUUCAGGAGAUUAAAAAUAUAGUUACUGGUGGCAUUUGGACUUUAUUUUUGCGAUUUAAAAUUUUAAGCAAUGCAUCUAUUACACAUUGGGUCUCAGAUUUCAAUUUGCUUCAGAAUCCAAAUGUGUUACUUACUCAAUCAUGUUUGUUACCCUUCUAACAGGUUCCAAACCAAUCACUUGGCGCAUGAUAUAUGGAAUGGAUGAUAGUUUCGGCUUUCUUUUACUUCUGAAUACACCAGUAGGCCUAAAUCCGGCCAAAGGACCAGCGGAAUUGGUUAUCUAAUUGCUCAAGUGAUACAUUGAAGAGAUUCGAUGCAAACAUUUUUCACCAUCCAGGUUUACAAUGUGAAAACAGUACGGUGAUGAUACACACCUGGGACAUGGAUGAGGUCCACAUGAAGUACUCUGAGAUAGAGAAAAAUGUGUGAUUUAAAAGGUUUGGACGAGUCAAUGAGGCGUUGUUUGCGAGUUAAAAUCUUCAUGAGGAAUUCUCAGGAAAAUUCCGAAUAUAGCAAAGUGGGAAAUUGUGCAUCUUGAAGAAUAAGAUUGGACGCUCAACCAUCCUUUCUGUUUACUUCUUAUUUGGAGUUUUGUCCAUUGUAAUGAUUCUUCUCCCCAGAUCCAAAAUUCUUUGGAUUCUGGGGACUGUAAAUUCCCGAUGUAGAAAGAACAUUAGCAGGGAAUAAUGGUUUGCUCACAAAAUAUGUCAUGUAUUGCAGGUUCGUGCAUAUUGUGGUUAACAAGAAGAUCUAUUGUAA